UACGGGGGGGGUAAGCGUUGUUCGGAAUUACUGGGCGUAAAGGGCUCGUAGGCGGCCAACUAAGUCGGACGUGAAAUCCCUCAGCUUAACUGGGGAACUGCGUCCGAUACUGGAUGGCUUGGAUUUGGGAGAGGGAUGCGGAAUUCCAGGUGUAGCGGUGAAAUGCGUAGAUACCAGGAGGAACACCGGUGGCGAAGGCGGUUUCCUGGCCGAGUACUGACGCUGAGGCACGAAAGCGUGGGGAGCGAACGGG
rnacentral:rRNA from 1 species